UUCUAUGGCGGUUCAGGCAGGGGAGACUUCGGUCUCGCCGGCUGAUAACUCCGGUACUGCGAACCCUGUUUGGAAUCGCCACCACU
rnacentral:antisense_RNA from 1 species